AUAUUUAAGUUUGAUAGGCGAUAUCUUCAUUACUUGACCCCUUCUGAACCCUCUUAAAUGGUGCACACUAAACACGACAUCAUGGAUCGAUUAUCUAGGAUGGCGUUCCACUAAUUGCAGUUGGUUAUGUCAUCGUCACCUGAUAAGGAACCCAGUAGCACCCAACAGGCUCCCCACUUUAUGACAGCAAUCAAGCGAGACAUGCAAACGGAAUACGUAUGAAUAUCUCCCCAACUUCCCCUUUUCCAUUAUGGACACGCAACGAUAAUGUCUUUUCCAAAUGUUUUGCUUAUCGGAGCGGGAAUAGAAUUUGAAUAAAAGUGUAUAUCAAAGAAGGAAAUUGCGUGCGAGGCGUUGAAUAAAACACUUGCCAAAUUGCAUUUUAAUGAAAUAUGGAUAGGGCAAGUGAACUUCAAUCGAUUUAAAGAGAUUAAGGUGGUGCUAGUCAUGAUAAAGCCACAUCGGUUGACUCAUCGUGGGUGCUUCUAAAUGUAUUUCCAAAAACCGGUCAAUCUUAUCGGGUUCAGAGGUACUCAACAUGCCUGUAUGAAUAAAAUUUCAACACAUUUCCCAUCUAUGUCGACAGAAAGUGCGACCCUUAUCAAAUAUUUUACGGCGAUCAGAUAGACCGAUGGAUUUUUUAUCAUUUUAGCCAAACAAAAAAUCUCACGUAAUGUUGUAUGGCCAAACACUCACUACUUGGUAACUCAAUGGUGCUGAUUAUUUACCCGCCACUGUAUGUUUCACUAGCCAUUGACAUUGAGCAAACUUCGGCAAAUGGCACGUGAGCGGGAAAGAGAAGGCGAAAGAGCGAGAGAGGCGGGAAGAUAGAGAAGCCUAUAUGCUAAAGAUGAUCGUAUGCAAUCCUAUUUAAACGGUCGUAACAUUUGUUUUGACCACUAUCAGAGUGAGCGACCACUAUCAGCAUGGCUCCUGCUGGAAAUUUCACCAGUCAUGCUUCGCUUCCAGUUUCCAAACCUCCAUGUGCAGCAUGACUGAGCUGUUUGCAUGUACAUACAUAUGUAGAUGUGUAUCCGGUGCCCCAAUAUUUAUCAACCCCGACUUUCACUUACGGAUCUCGAAUUUCUGCUUGGGAUAUAGCUUCUGCAGGCGGCCGAUGACAUGUUUGGUCUGAAUCAGUGCGAGCUGCAAAGAGGGGGGAGAGUGU